UGGGGAAUCUUGCACAAUGGGGGCAACCCUGAUGCAGCGACGCCGCGUGAGCGAUGAAGCCCUUCGGGGCGUAAAGCUCUUUCGGCAGGGAAGAUGAUGACGGUACCUGCAGAAGCAGCUGCGGCUAACUACGUGCCAGCCGCCGCGGUAAUACGUAGGCAGCAAGCGUUGUUCGGAGUUACUGGGCGUAAAGGGUGUGUAGGCGGUUCUUUAAGUUUGGUGUGAAAUCUCCCGGCUCAACUGGGAGGGUGCGCCGAAUACUGAGGGACUCGAGUGCGGGAGAGGAAAGUGGAAUUCCUGGUGUAGCGGUGAAAUGCGUAGAUAUCAGGAGGAACACCGGUGGUGUAAACGGCUUUCUGGACCGUAACUGACGCUGAGACACGAAAGCGUGGGUAGCAAACA
rnacentral:rRNA from 1 species